rnacentral:lncRNA from 1 species
AUGGGUAAGUUUGAGUGGAGAAGGAGGGUAGUGGGCAGUUGGGUUUUAGAAGAUUGGGAAGAAGGCCAGACCGGAGACUUCAAAGUAGGGGUGACACCAUGUAGAUGGCGUUUAAAGCCGCAGGAAGAGAUUGGCAAGGGAGUGAGUGUACAGAGAAGAGAGCCAGGAAUGCAAAUUCCAAGCUUGUGUUGCCAGAUCCUUGAGGAAUCACGAACAAAUUACUGGAAGAACUUCAAGCCACUAUCACUAUUCAAAAAUCUUGAUGGAAAUCAUACAUCUACCCAAAGAAUGUUGCAUGAGCAAAAUAAAGUUUCUUUCGCUUCAACUCUUGGCACUAUAGCAACUCAAAGGGGUUUUCUUAUGUGGACACAAAUGAAUCACGGACGAAACACAGACCCGGGGGACCUGCGGCAGGCUUCCUUACCAUGUUGAUCCAGUCACAAUCAUCUGUAUAGGGUCAGCCUUGUAGGAAACCAUGAUUAGGAAGAGAUAUCAAAGAAUGAAAAAACAGUAGCAGUUAAUUCUCCAACAUCAGCCACAGGAACAAAGGAUAUUAUUUGAGAAUUUGCACUCAUUUAGUCUAUGAAUGGCAAAUAGCUUCCAUUUUGUGUAACUGCUCAUUGAUUGUGUCUGUUGAGCUCUGUGUUGAACAAGAGUCUGAAGUCAAGUCUGAUCUCAACAGGAUGGUGCUCUGAUGGACUCGCAAUGAUUGUCGUGGGCAAAUUUAAUUUAAUCCAAGGUCUUUUUUGGAUUAAUUUAAGGGACUGGAUGAUCUAAAGAGGAAAUUUAUGAGAAAGUUGAUCCAGAGACAAUAAGAAAAUUUCCAAAGACCCGUCGUAAGUUUGCAGCAAUGUAAAGAUAAAGAUCUGCCCAGAGCCUCAUGGGAAUCAUAGCAUCAUAUAUUCUCAAAGCCAUGUCCUGGGGAAGUCAGUGAACAGAAGAAUUUAUGACAGAAAUAACACUACACGCGAGUCAGAAAAACUGGACUCCAUCCCACGUUCUGUCACUAUUUAAGAUGCAUUACUACUCAGGAUUAAUCUUGAAGAACUUACGUUUCACACUGGUAAAAUGAGACAUCUGUGCUAGCUCGCUUCUCUGGUAAUUCCCAGCUCUAAAAAGUCAGACCAAAACAAACAUGGCAACAAACCUCAAGCUCUCUAAGACAGCCCUAUUUGGCUUUUCUCUCUAAUUCUCCACUGUUUAUAUCAAAAGGCAAAUGUAGGGGUUUUUUUUUUCUCAUGCUUCCAUUGCCUCUGGAUUAAUAUGAUCAUGUUGCCUCACUUUUCUGUCUCUCGUUACUGUUUUUCAGAAUUAAAAAUGAUUAUGAGUAGAUCCGGGAGUGGAGAGUGAAAGGGACUUCCUACGAGACUACGCUGGACCACACUGUUUCAGAAACCUUUAUUCUGUCUUUCAUUUAAUCCUCUCAGCAAAAUAGGUAUUAUAGAUAAUUAUCCCCAUUUCAUAGAUGAAGUUACAGAGUCUGAGAGAGGUUAGAUGACCUUUGUAAGGGCUCAGUGCUGGAAAAUUAUACAGCAUAGAAUAAGUUUAAACUCUGACCUCUGGUUGCAAUAGAAAAUACUUUCUCUUGUAUUGUGCUGCUCCACCGAAACAUAAUGAGCUGUUAUGAGUUCCAACUUGGUAUGGGCACUCUUGAAAGCCGCUUUAUUUCCCCCUUAGCAGCCAGUUUGGCCUUGCAUUAAGCAGUAAGUGUUCUCCCAUGAUUGAAUUGUAUUUCUCAUACUGAAAUUCAAAAAUUCAGAACACCCAUCACUGAGAUACACCUCCUCAUCACACGAAAAUGCCUAUUGCUCUAAUUACCACAUUUGAGACUUUUCCAAGAGGUAGGCUGGGAGCUUCUGCAAGUCAUUGUAGGGAAACAUUUUCUGAGCAGAUUCCUGGGGAGUGCAGUCAUUAGCUCCUGCACCACGCAAGGAUCUUUUGAAGCUCUCCUGCAGGAAACUUGAGAGAGAUUCAAUGAGCAAAUGCAAAUGGUAUUUGCUGCAAAACUACAGCAUUCCUCUGGGGGAAUCCUGGCUUAUAACGAAACAACUUUGAAUUUAAGCAAAGUAGAUUGUGGAGGAAAAGCUGUUUAUCACUCCACGCUUUGGUUUGCUACAGCAAGAGAGAGCUUUAACUUCCUCGUUUCCUCCCCAUUAAGAAAAUAAUUGAGGCUAAUUUUAUUCUUACGAAGAAACUACAAGACUGUUUGGAUCUCUUCGGGUUUUUGGAUGCAGGUAGUGCCAGAAGCUUCUGAGGCAGUAAACCAGACUUUCUCUGACUGUUCUUGGUGUGCGGGCAUCAAUAAAAGUCUCCUGCCAUGGGACCA